UUGUAUGGAUUGGUCUGUUUAGAGAUCCAAACUUUCACUGGUCUGAUGGGAGCAGAUUUGUCUACAGAAACUGGGCAGACGUUUUCAACGUAAUAGGCUCCAACAGAAUCAUUUGUGGAGUCACAUGGAGUCCAGGGCAAUGGAGGUUUCGCUCAUGUGAAACAAAAAGGUCAUUUGUUUGCCACAGCCUCCCAGGCAAGUGUUUAAAUGGUAUUUACUUAUUGAUGUGCAUGUAGGACAACAUGAGCUGCAGUUUUAAGUGUAGCUUCAUUUUUCUUGUUUAAAACGUAGAAAUGAAACGGCUUGUGAAGCUGAGACUGAAGACUGAGGACUCUGUCAAUCUGAACGAUCCGCUUGUGAUGGUAAACAUCCUGAAGAAGCUGCAGGACAGACUGAAUGAGAAUGGAACGAGUGGAACCACCUUGAAAUGGAGAGAGCAGCCUGACGGAGACGUCUUUAAGAAGAAGAAGGCCGAACUCUGAGUUAUUAAUCUCAACUUAGUACGAUAUAAAUCUGGUUAUAUCUCUGGUCACUGGCAGUUCAAAUGUAAUCAUACAGCCUCAAUCUGUAAUGUGUGUUUUUUUAUGAUUUUGUAAUAAUGAAAAAUUAGCUUUAGAAUUUAAUUUUUUUAAAUUUUAUUUUUUAUAUAUAUUUUGGAUCACAGUCUUGACUUUAAUCUGAUGUAGAAUUUAUAGAAGUAGGUAAAGAUUGACGGGUUGAGGCAAGAAACUCAUCACCAAAGAUUCAUGAUUCAAUCAAAGGUCUGUUUUGCUGCUUUGAACUAAUCUGAGCUUCUUUUGGUUCGAUCCACUGGAUUGGAUCACACUGUCUGACUUUUGUCAAACUCUUAUUCUACGUGUGUAUAUUAAUAAUAAACUUAUUUUGUCCCAA